UUCAUUUUGUUUUCUUUUGGAUAAUCUCUUAUGGGGUUUCUCCAAUUUUGAUUUGCUUUCUUCAAUUCUUUCUUUCUUAUUGGCAAUUACUCCUUUAUUGCAUGCUUUUGACGCCUACUAAUUGAUAUCCUUUCUUACAUAAACAGAAGUAACAGAACGCUCCCAUGGACAUUAUUUGGUACUGGGCGGGUUCUUUGUUAGAGAAACGAGGAGUGCCUCCAAUAUACUUGAUCUUAUGGCUCGUACUUCAAGAUUGCUUCAGGCUUUCGAGUAAUCCAUCCUUGCACGUAGAAACGUUGAGAUUAUCCAGCUAGUGAAUCAAAGAAACGCAUUUACUCAGAAAAUUUUAACUCUCCAGCAAGCAAUGAAUAUGCAACAUCAAGGUUUGCAACAUAUGAGGCAACUGGUGUCCCAGUACCAGAAACAGGUGGAAAAAUUAGAGGCUCAGCAGCAAAGCAACCCUGUCACAAGCUGCUGCUCCUCUGCACAAUGAUGUCUUCUAUUUGGCCUAAUGGGUGAAUAAUUAGUAUGUGAGUGCUUUUAACUGCUGUGAAAAAGGUGGUGCUACAUAUGUGUAGGAACUACAGAUGGUGUCUACUGUCGCAAUUGCUUUGCGUGGGGUUCCCCUUUUAUAUUCAAAUGGUAGGCAGUGAUGAAAGACACAUUUUAGAUUCAUUUGAAUACACCUUUUAGAAUCGCUUCAUUUUACUGUUUGUGUUCUCGAUUUCGAUAUUGAAUCUUUUUUGUUUUGGUAAGUAAUUUCAAUAUUAAAAUUGAUACACAUCAUAGGUGUUUGUAGGUUUAUAUGUUCAGAGAUCAAACAAUGUAAUUGUAGCAAUAUAUUUUG